rnacentral:rRNA from 1 species
AAUAGAUACCCAGGUAGUCCACGCCGUAAACGAUGAGUGCUAAGUGUUAGAGGGUUUCCGCCCUUUAGUGCUGCAGCUAACGCAUUAAGCACUCCGCCUGGGGAGUACGGUCGCAAGACUGAAACUCAAAGGAAUUGACGGGGGCCCGCACAAGCGGUGGAGCAUGUGGUUUAAUUCGAGGCAACGCGAAGAACCUUACCAGGUCUUGACAUCCUCUGACAACUCUAGAGAUAGAGCGUUCCCCUUCGGGGGACAGAGUGACAGGUGGUGCAUGGUUGUCGUCAGCUCGUGUCGUGAGAUGUUGGGUUAAGUCCCGCAACGAGCGCAACCCUUGAUCUUAGUUGCCAGCAUUCAGUUGGGCACUCUAAGGUGACUGCCGGUGACAAACCGGAGGAAGGUGGGGAUGACGUCAAAUCAUCAUGCCCCUUAUGACCUGGGCUACACACGUGCUACAAUGGAUGGUACAAAGGGCUGCAAGACCGCGAGGUCAAGCCAAUCCCAUAAAACCAUUCUCAGUUCGGAUUGU